GGGCCCAUAGCGCAGCCUGGUAGCGCAGCAGACUCUUAAUCUGUUGGUCGUGGGUUCGAAUCCCUCUGGGCCCA
rnacentral:tRNA from 1 species